rnacentral:rRNA from 1 species
AACCUGCGGAGGGAUCAUUACUGAGUUUACGCUCUACAACCCUUUGUGAACAUACCUAUAACUGUUGCUUCGGCGGGUAGGGUCUCCGCGACACUCCCGGCCUCCCGCCCCCGGGCGGGUCGGCGCCCGCCGGAGGAUAACCAAACUCUGAUGUAACGACGUUUCUUCUGAGUGGUACAAGCAAAUAAUCAAAACUUUUAACAACGGAUCUCUUGGUUCUGGCAUCGAUGAAGAACGCAGCGAAAUGCGAUAAGUAAUGUGAAUUGCAGAAUUCAGUGAAUCAUCGAAUCUUUGAACGCACAUUGCGCCCGCCAGCAUUCUGGCGGGCAUGCCUGUUCGAGCGUCAUUUCAACCCUCAAGCUCUGCUUGGUGUUGGGGCCCUACAGCUGAUGUAGGCCCUCAAAGGUAGUGGCGGACCCUCCCGGAGCCUCCUUUGCGUAGUAACUUUACGUCUCGCACUGGGAUCCGGAGGGACUCUUGCCGUAAAACCCCCAAUUCUCCAAAGGUUGACCUCGGAUCAGGUAGGAAUACCCGCUGAACUUAAGCAUAUCAAUA